AUGGGGCAGGCCCGGUUCUGCGGGGAGACCCACGCAGAACCCGCGCAGCGCCAUUUCCGUUCUCCGCGUUAUGGUUCUGUGCGGAGGGGGGAGAAAAAAAUCAUAACAAUUAACAAAAAUAAAUACGAAAUAACGAACCCCGCGCGUGCCCUCUAUUGCGCCUCCCCGCAGGACCUUCGGGAGCGGGAGGGUCGCCUGAAAGAACCGGGAACCUGGCGGGACGUGUCCCUGCCCCCUGCGCAGGGACAAUGGAUGGUAUGGGCGGCACUCGUUGGAACGCCUCACGGCCCCGUUCUCCCCCAGCAGAGCAGCGGCACGAAACGAUCCCCACUCUCCUCGCUGUUUGUUCACCCCGCCGCUGAGAAAACCGGGGGUGCGAGGAGAUCGGUGUCUCUUAGCACCGAAAAUACCGCGCAACCAUUACAUGCAAUCGCCGCUCUGCCCUCCCCGCGCCUUAACUUUGAUUUUGGCGUUCAAUCUCGAGAGAAACCGAUCCCAAGUAGGCACCGCAGGGACAGACCCCGCUCGCUGCCCGAGCUUCAUUUUGAGAGGAGAAAAGGGCGAAAACAGGAGCGGGGUGCAGAGCACAGCGCUGGGAGCUGGGGUUCGCCAUCAGAAACGGCCCGGAGUGCUUCGCUCCAUUUCUCCUUCGCUCCAGCGAUAACACAACGGUGCGGCGGGCGGGGGGUGGGGUUGGGGGGAGCUUUUCGGACCAAACUCAAGAAACACACAGAUAGAAAUAGGGCCGAUAGUUUCUUCACUGGUACUAUCACAGGAAAAACAAAAACAAAAAAAAACAAAAAACAAAAAACCAGCAAUCGCAGCGGAGAAGGCAGCUCCCAACGCAGGAGGGGGAUUAAGGAAAGAAAACCUUUGCGACGCAGCUCCCGGCUCCGCGUUCCGCAGCGAACUGUCUGCAGCGGGGACCCGGCUCGGGGAUGGGUUCUGUGGGGCUUUUUGAAGCGAGCAGCAGCAGGAAAAAAUCCACCGUCCGCUCCGCCGGCGGAGCUCCGCGCUUUCUCUCCUCUCUCUUUUUUUCAGUCUCUUUCUCGGUGCCGGGCUGCGUUGGGACGCAUCGGAAAAACUCCUGAACUUUUGAGCAUCCGUCACCGCCGCGAGAACUUUUUUACGCACUUACGG
rnacentral:lncRNA from 1 species